rnacentral:rRNA from 1 species
GUCUUAUUGAAAAUAAUUUUAAGUCGAUCUGCCCAAUGAUAAUUUAAAUGGCUGCAGUAUAACUGACUGUACAAAGGUAGCAUAAUCAAUUGGUUUUUAAAUGAAAUCUGGAAUGAAAGGAUUAAUGAAAUGUACACUGUCUCAAAUAUAUUUUGUGAACUUAAAAUUUUAAUAAAAAUGUUGAAAUUUUUUUAUGGGACGAUAAGACCCUAUAGAAUUUUAUAUUAGAUCAUUUCUAUUCUUAAGGUGGAAUUUGAUUUAAUAUUUAGUUGGGAGGACUAUUAAAUUUAACGAACUUUAAUUUUUGAGAACUUUGAUUAAAGAAAAUAUUUUGAUCUUGAAUUUUAAAUUGUUAGAGUAAAUUACCUUAGGGAUAACAGCGUAAUAUUUUUUUAUAGGUCGUAUAGAAAAAAAUGGUUGCGACCUCGAUGUUGAAUUAAGAUAAAUUUUAAAUGCAGGAGUUUAAUAAUUAAGUCUGUUCGACUUUUGAAAUCUUACAUGAUUUGAGUUCAAAUCGACGUAAGU